rnacentral:miRNA from 1 species
CACCAUCAGCCACACCUACUCA